ACAAAUCAUUGCGGGCUUCGGCUCACAUUAACCCGGCCGCGAGGCUAGGUCUUGUAGACCUGUGUGCUGUUGGAUCAUCAACCGAUUCGUGCAGCUAGCAGGUCGACAUUAACGCUUGUUUGUUUGACUGUGUGAUGGAUCAAUAAAAUGA
rnacentral:misc_RNA from 1 species